UACGUAGGGACCAAGCGUUGUUCGGAUUUACUGGGCGUAAAGGGUGUGUAGGCGGUUAUUUAAGUUUGGUGUGAAAUCUCCCGGCUCAACCGGGAGGGUGCGCCGAAUACUGAAUGACUUGGAGUGCGGGAGAGGAAAGUGGAAUUCCUGGUGUAGCGGUGAAAUGCGUAGAUAUCAGGAGGAACACCGGUGGCGAAGGCGGGUCUCUGGGCUGACACUGACGCUCAUGCACGAAAGCGUGGGGAGCAAACAGG
rnacentral:rRNA from 1 species